AUUGAACGCUGGCGGCAGGCCUAACACAUGCAAGUCGAACGAGUGGCGGACGGGUGAGUAAUGUCUGGGAAACUGCCCGAUGGAGGGGGAUAACUACUGGAAACGGUAGCUAAUACCGCAUACUAUCCGAUGAACCCAUAUGGGAUUAGCUAGUAGGUGGGGUAAAGGCUCACCUAGGCGACGAUCUCUAGCUGGUCUGAGAGGAUGAUCAGCCACACUGGGACUAAGACACGGCCCAGACUCCUACGGGAGGCAGCAGUGGGGAAUAUUGCACAAUGGGCGCAAGCCUGAUGCAGCCAUGCCGCGUGUAUGAAGAAGGCCUUCGGGUUGUAAAGUACUUUCAGCGGGGAGGCGUUACCCGCAGAAGAAGCACCGGCUAACUCCGUGCCAGCCGCCGCGGUAAUAC
rnacentral:rRNA from 1 species